AAUCCUGNGCAGCCAUACGAUAUUCUACUGUUNCGAAUCCCAGUACGCCAGCGAAGCGUAGUAUCACUGGAGUACGCCGCACGUUAACUCAAGAUGACGGGGCCCGCACAACCGAAGACAUUGUGUUAUCGAUGAUACGCGAGACCUACCGGUUUGAACGUAGGAGACAGAGUGAACAUUCUUUUCAGCAAUGACUGCCUACGAGGUGCUGCAUGGUUGUCGUCAGCUCGUGCCGUGAGGUGUCGGCUUAAGUGCCAUACGAGCGCAACCCUUAUUUUCAGUUACUAACAGGUGAUGCUGAGGACUCUGAAGAGACUGCCAGCGUAAGCUGUGAGAAGGUGGGGAUGACGUCAAAUCAGCACGGCCCUUACAUCCGGGGCGACACACGUGUUACAAUGGUAAGGACAAAGGGCAGCUACCGGGCGACCGGAUGCGAAUCUCUAAACCUUAUCUCAGUUCGGAUCGGAGUCUGCAACUCGACUCCGUGAAGCUGGAUUCGCUAGUAAUCGCGCAUCAGCCAUGGCGCGGUGAAUACGUUCCCGGGCCUUGUACACWCCGCCCGUCAAGCCAUGGGAGCCGGGGGUACCUGAAGUUCGUAACCGAAA
rnacentral:rRNA from 1 species